AACGAACGCUGGCGGCAUGCCUAACACAUGCAAGUCGAACGAGACCUUCGGGUCUAGUGGCGCACGGGUUCGUAACGCGUGGGAACCUGCCCUUAGGUUCGGAAUAACUCCCCGAAAGGGGUGCUAAUACCGGAUAAUGUCUUCGGACCAAAAAUUUGUAGCCUUUGGAUGGGCGCGCGUUUGAUUAGCUAGUUGGUAGGGUAAAAGCCAACUAAGGCGACGAUCCAUAGCUGGUCUGAGAGGAUGAUCAAAGACACUGGGACUGAGACACGGCCCAGACUCUUACGCAAGGGAGCAGAAGGGAAUAUUGGAAAAUAGGCGAGAACCUGAUACAGCAAUGCCAAGUGAGUGAUGAAGCCCUUAGGGUAAUAAAGCUCUUUGACCCGGGAUGAUAGUGAAAGUACCGGGCGAAUAAGCUCCGGCUAACUCCGUG
rnacentral:rRNA from 1 species